UAAGCAACAGUAGGAUAAAUAGUCAAGCUUAAACAUGAUUAGCGGUCCCCAAGUUGCUGUCAAACUUAAACAUAGUUAAAACUGAGUUGCUCCUAAAAAUUAGGAAAUCAACUUAUCUAUUAUGUCCUACUAUAUAAACUGGUGGGACGGAACAAACCAUCAAUGAUUGGUGGAGGAGGAGUUGGUCAAACUACUCUCCCGCAAAGACUUACAACUACAAGAUGACAAGGGAUCUGCUUUGCUGCAGCUGUUGGAACGUGCACAUGGCUGAGAUGAUCAGCAGAAAAAAAUGAGUCGUGGCCAACGAUAAAGGGUGGAGAAGGAGUCACUCCUCUUCGCUUGGGAGGAGUGAGAUGGCUCGGUUUGAUAAAACUAGAGAAAUACUCUACUAUGAUGAUUGGAUUACACUAAUCCGUUCGGUAUCUGUUUGAUAAAACUAGAGAAAAUACUCAAGUAUGAUGAUUGGAUUACACUGAUCCUCAAUUGUGUAAACUCUGUACUCUAUGGUAAGCAUGUUAAGAACCAAACAUUUUGUUUAAGUUUUCAACGUCCUUCCAACUAGGUUUAAAUUCACUUCUUUUUUCAUGUAGUUUUAUGAAUAUGUAAUUUUAGUCCCCUACAAUAUUUAUUAAACAUUUGGUUCUCAUGUCUUUCAAAUUUCUUAAUUUUGGUUUAUUGUUUUCAUCAGAUUAACAAAAGGCCUAAUCUAUACCGUGAUAGCUUACGAAGUCUGCUACCCAAUCCAAACUGUUACAAAGACUUAAAUUUUUGUUCCAGCUACAAUUUAAAUUAGACUAAAUGAUCAUUUUGGUUUUGUAUCUUAAUUUAUUUUGUUUAAUCAUUUAUCUUUUAAAAAAUUUACUUUUGAUCUUUUUAUCUUAUUUAAAAAUUUUAAAAUAAUUAUAUAUCUCUUAAAAAAUUUACCUUGUUAUCUCAUUUUAUCUAAAAGAUUUAAAAUGAUCUUUUAAUUAUUUAAAUAUAUUUAAAAUAAUCCUUUAUUUAAUUGUUAUUUAAAACAAAAAGUUGAAUAAAGGAUAAAGUUGAAUUUUAAAAAUAGCUUACUAUGUGUUUAUAAGCUAUUAUUUACCUUAUUUCUAUCAGAUAAUGUUAAAAAUAAAUUAUAACUGCACUAUAAAAGUAAUUUAACCGUAUUUUCUCUUUUAUUAUAAAAUAACUAUACUUAAGUAAAUACUAUUCAACGACUACUUAAAUAAGUUACUUAACCAAAUAGACCCUUAAUAUUUAUUCUUUUAAUAUAAGUUUUAUUUGAGUUUAAUUUUUAUCUAUAAUAUAUAAAAAAAAAUAUUUUAUUAUCAAUCAAUCAAAAAUUAUUAUUAAUAUAAUUUUUAUGAUAAUUAUUUUAAAAAUUAAUAACUUUUUGACAUGACCAGACCAAUAAAAGCACUAACAUGUAAUGGAUAGAGAUGUAUCUAAUUAAUACCUAUCAUCCUGCUGCGGUGGAAAAAGGUGUAAUGGAUAGAGAUGAUAGUGUUAAUGUACUUUUCCCUAAAGAGCACAGAAAGAGAGAUGAAAAAGAAUAUAUAUAUAUAUAUAUAUAUAUAAAAGUAUAAUCCAAUUUACACCAAACAUAUAGUUCAAUGGAAUUUUUUUUUCCUUGUGACUCAAACUGCUUAUUAUUAUGUGAAACAAAACAAAAUAUUGAACAAAACUCCAAUUUCGGAAAGAAAAUUUGUGAAGUCUAUUAACUCCUAACUUAUUUUGGCGAUUAUUAGAUGCAAACUAUUUCAUCUUGCAAUACAGUAUUUUACCAUGCUAUGUAUACUAGUGGGAUAUCAUGUCCUCCAGGUUCGAGUAGCAAAAUUUAAAUUCUAAAUUACUUAAUAAGAAAUUAAUUCCUUCACUAUCAUGUACGAGAUACAAAGCGAUUUCCUACUUAGAACAUAUGCUACCUUUUUCUCCUUUCAAUAAUGGUAUUAAGGCGUAAAAUCACAACACUUUGAAAUUUCAAUCAACACCUUUUAAUUCCUUUCUUAAACAAAUUUUAUAAAAUUUAUGAUUUGUAUACACGUCAAACUUGUGUCUUGGUGACUGGUUGAUCAUGAAUCCAAAAAAAAUCUUUUUACAUAUGCAUAGGUAAGAUUGUGCGAAAUGCUCCAUUCCUUCACACAGUGAAAAAAAUCUCCUAACAGUGACGCAUUAUUUAUAUGUAUAAACCUAAAACCCGACUCCAUAGAGAUAAUGCUGCCAAGUAUUUAAAGCAAUUACCACAAGUUCUAAUUUUGUUUCUGGCUAGAUUUCUAAAAAUGUUCAUCUCAGUUUUGAAUUGAUGCAUUAGGAACUCUACAUUUUUAGCAUUGGUGUUAUAUAAACAACAGAAAUUUUAUCCUACUAAAUGAAGUCGACUAUAUAGACUACACAAUAUCAUUAGGUUUGGUUGAAGACACCCUUCAAUCCAAUGUUAUAUCGGGAACAUGUUAUUUUAUUUUUUUCCUGUGGACGUUGUAGCUCAUAGCUCAAUCUCAAGGCUAUGGAAAGAGAAAGGGAAUACAGUGCCUCAAUGAGAGACACAAGACUAGCCAACAAGUAAUUGUUUCUAUGCCCUGUUCAUAUUUUUAUGCCAACAACUUUUUUUCCAAAGCUCAAAUCAAUAUUUCAUGUAAUCAACAAUGGUCAUGUUACAUUAUUUACAACAGCAAAAAGAAAAAGAAUUCCUCCAUCUUUUUUCCCUUCAUCUUUUAAGGCAGUUGUGUUUGGUUCAGAGGAUAGAAAUAUAAGAGAUAUAUUUGAACUGAAGCAUAUUGUAGGAGAUGUGAGACCCACACAACCUCUCUAUUUCUCUCCUCCCCCAACACAGCAUUAGAGAAUAAUGAUGCAGUUUUUUUCUUGGCAGCUUUUAACUCCUCGUGCCUUUCUUUAAUGAAGUCUUGGUUUCACCAACAUUAAGUUAUGCACAACACUGGUGCAGUGAUCAUGUUUGUUUAUUUUCAGAUCCAGAUACAA
rnacentral:lncRNA from 1 species